AUCGAGACUAGAGUCACAUCUGAACAUGUUUGAUUGUCUUGGUGUGCUAUAGCUCUCGGACAUGAAUGCCUGAUCUCUAUUCACUGGCUGUGAUGUGUCUCAGCCAGCCACUGAAUCAGCAACACAA